UACAGAGGGCGCGAGCGUUGUCCGGAAUCACUGGGCGUAAAGGGCGCGUAGGUGGCCACCAUAAGGCCGCGGUGAAAGUCUAGGGCUCAACCCUAGAUCUGCCGCGGCGACUGUGGGGCUAGGGCACCGUAGAGGCAGAUGGAAUUCCGGGUGUAGCGGUGGAAUGCGUAGAGAUCCGGAAGAACACCAGUGGCGAAGGCGGUCUGCUGGGCGGUGGAUCCGCAAGGGUCCAAUAGCCGACACUGAGGCGCGACAGCGUGGGGAGCAAACAGG
rnacentral:rRNA from 1 species